rnacentral:lncRNA from 1 species
AGGAACACAUGCAUACUAUGAUUGAUCAGAGACCUAUUAUUAGAUCCCCACACGUGUACUUAAUGACAAUAGGAAGGCCUCAGGAGUUCAUAUUUGUUAACUGCAUUUUUGUUAGCUUUAUCCGUAAAAGAAGUAUGAGUAUCCUUGUUCGUACCAUAAGGUUCAGGAUUUGGUUUUCACAUAAAGAUAGAGGUUGAAUAUCUCGACUAGAUUACUUAGGUGCCUUAUGAUCCGACCUUGGUUGACCUAUAGUCACGAUGCAGUCACAUAUAUAAUAAAAAUAUUUAUAUGGUUCAGUCUACCAU